rnacentral:rRNA from 1 species
CGGAUUAAUACUCCAUAAUACUGCGAGAAGGCAUCUUUUUUCAGUUAAAGCUUCGGCGGUCAGAGAUGGGCAUGCGUAACAUUAGCUGGUUGGUGAGGUAACAGCUCACCAAGGCUACGAUGUUUAGGGGGUCUGAGAGGAUGGUCCCCCACACUGGUACUGAGACACGGACCAGACUCCUACGGGAGGCAGCAGUGAGGAAUAUUGGUCAAUGGGCGAAAGCCUGAACCAGCCAUGCCGCGUGAAGGAUGACGGCCCUAUGGGUUGUAAACUUCUUUUAUACGGGAAGAAACCCCUCUACGUGUAGGGGGCUGACGGUACCGUACGAAUAAGCAUCGGCUAACUCCGUGCCAGCAGCCGCGGUAAUACGGAGGAUGCAAGCGUUAUCCGGAUUUAUUGGGUUUAAAGGGUGCGUAGGCGGAAAAUUAAGUCAGUGGUGAAAUCCUGCAGCUUAACUGUAGAAUUGUCAUUGAUACUGGUUUUCUUGAAUACAGUUGAGGUAGGCGGAAUGAGUAAUGUAGCGGUGAAAUGCUUAGAUAUUACUCAGAACACCAAUUGCGAAGGCAGCUUACUAAACUGUGAUUGACGCUGAGGCACGAAAGCGUGGGGAGCGAACAGGAUUAGAUACCCUGGUAGUCCACGCCGUAAACGAUGAUCACUCGUUGUUGGCAAUACACCGUCAGCGACUGAGCGAAAGUAUUAAGUGAUCCACCUGGGGAGUACGAUUGCAAGAUUGAAACUCAAAGGAAUUGACGGGGGCCCGCACAAGCGGAGGAACAUGUGGUUUAAUUCGAUGAUACGCGAGGAACCUUACCUGGGCUUAAAUGCAUAACGACGGAUCGGGAAACUGGUCUUUCUUCGGACGGAAUGCAAGGUGCUGCAUGGCUGUCGUCAGCUCGUGCCGUGAGGUGUCGGGUUAAGUCCCAUAACGAGCGCAACCCUCAUCAUUAGUUGCCAGCGGGUAAUGCCGGGGACUCUAAUGAAACUGCCGGUGUAAACCGAGAGGAAGGCGAGGAUGACGUCAAGUCAGCACGGCCCUUAUGUCCAGGGCUACACACGUGUUACAAUGGUCAGUACAAAGGGCAGCUACCAGGCAACUGGAUGCUAAUCUCAAAAGCUGGUCACAGUUCGGAUCGGAGUCUGCAACUCGACUUCGUGAAGUUGGAUUCGCUAGUAAUCGCGCAUCAGCCAUGGCGCGGUGAAUACGUUCCCGGGCCUUGUACACACCGCCCGUCAAGCCAUGGAAG